AGUUAAUGAACUUGAAUAAGUUUAUGAUUUGAAAUCAUAUUAUAGAAAUAAAAUUUUCUAUUAACUU
rnacentral:tRNA from 4 species